UACGGGGGGGGCAAGCGUUGUUCGGAAUUACUGGGCGUAAAGGGCUCGUAGGUGGCCAACUAAGUCAGACGUGAAAUCCCUCGGCUUAACCGGGGAACUGCGUCUGAUACUGGAUGGCUUGAGUUCGGGAGAGGGAUGCGGAAUUCCAGGUGUAGCGGUGAAAUUCGUAGAUAUUGGGAGGAACACCGGUGGCGAAGGCGGCCAUCUGGGAGGGCACUGACGCUGAGACGCGAAAGCGUGGGGAGCAAACAGG
rnacentral:rRNA from 1 species